rnacentral:lncRNA from 1 species
CCCUGACUGUGCAGUCUCAUGCACUCUUCAGCACGACCCCGGGAACAUUCCUAUCUCAUCUGCAGAAGGAGGAGAUGGACUUGUGGCACCUCUCUGGGUCAUCUGGACGGGGUCUGUGCAUAUGAGUACGGGUGCCCAUGGAGGCCAAGAGAUAGCAUCGGAUCCCCUGAAGCUGGAGUUAUAGGUUGUUGUGAACUGCCUGAAGUGGUUGCUGAGAACGACACUCUGGAUUUCUACAAGAAGACUCUGCACUCU